AUGCCGAGAAGCCUUAGAUGCUGUAAUUGAUAGAUGCUCUGCAUUGCAGAAUCUACGGCAAGCUGUUCUGCAUUACAGAAAGGUUGUCAACCAACAACAUGUUGAGCCAAGGGUGAGGAGAGUGGCUUUGAACCGUGGUGCUGAAUAUCUGGAGCGGUACUUUCGUUUAAUUGCUUUUGCAGCCUAUCUUGGAAGUGAAGCAUUUGAUGGAUUUUGUGGUGAAGGAGAAUUGAGGAUGACAUUUAAGAGUUGGUUGCAUCAAAGACCUGAGGUCCAAGCGAUAAAAUGGAGCAUAAGACUAAGGCCUGGGCGGUUUUUCACUAUCCCUGUAUAUUUUUCUUCUGCGUUUUGAUUGGGAAUUUUAGGGUGGUUAAUAUAAUUUUUUUUUUCCUGUUGUGGAUUCUCCAUUUAUUACUAAUUAAACUUAGAUAUUGUUGCACAUGCUAUUUAAUGCAGGAGGAGUUGAGAGCACCCCAGGAAUCCCAACAUGGAGAUGCAGUAAUGGAGGCCACUAUCAAGGCCCGUAAUGGUUCAGUUUUAGGAACAGGCUCUAUACUUAAAAUGUAUUUCUUUCCUGGUCAGAGGACUUCCAGUCACAUACAAAUUCAUGGAGCACCACAUGUUUACAAGGUAUGUGUAGUAUCAAGCAGCUUCUUUGAAAUUGUGAUGCCACAGGGAAAGCCUGUGUGCAUAUGAUAGCUUAACUAGCACACUGAUAUUUUCUGCAUUUUUAUUAGUAAUAUAAUAUUGGACAUAAGACAGGCAUUACCCAAAUGUUAAUCCAUAUUAGAUGUUCUCCACCAACAUGUUGCAGCUUGCAGGUAGGAGCUAUGCCUAUUUUGUAUUCCUUGGUCUUAUACGUAAUAUUUAUUCAUCCUUGCCUGAUGAUAAUGGAUCACUGGCUAAAAGGUCCAUUUUGGUACUCCAUUUGAUUUAUUUGAAAUAUCCAUUUCUCAUUCUAUUUCGAUUAUUGCUUCUCUCUCUCUCUCUCUGUGCGUGUGUGUGUGCGCAUGCGCUCGUAUGCUAAUUAUUAUCGUACAAAUAUACAUAAAGCUUUAUGAACAACUGAUGAUUUGACUAAGAAGAAACUUUGCAUUAUGAUAGAACUUUGGCACUGGUUUUGAGCCCUAGAUUUCUGUACGCUUCAGGUGGAUGGAUACCCUGUGUAUAGCAUGGCAACUCCAACAAUUGCUGGUGCUAAAGAGAUGCUCGCAUAUUUGGGUGCCAAGCCCAAGGUAGAAGGAUCAUUUGCUCAUAAAGUGAUAUUGACCGAUCUCAGAGAAGAAGCAGUUGUUUACAUUAAUGGCAUACCAUUUGUCCUCAGGGAGUUGCAUAAACCUGUUGAUACACUCAAGCAUGUUGGAAUUACUGGUCCCAUGGUAGAACAUAUGGAGGCACGACUAAAAGAGGAUAUAGUAUCUGAGGUGAGGCAAUCUGGAGGAAGAAUGCUUUUACAUCGUGAAGAAUAUAACCCAGCAACAAACCAGUCCAGUGUCAUAGGAUACUGGGAAAACAUCUUUGCAGAUGAUGUGAAGACACCAGCUGAAGUUUAUGCUGCCCUAAAAGAUGAGGGUUAUAAUAUAACAUAUAGGAGGAUACCAUUAACUAGAGAGAGGGAGGCUUUAGCUUCUGAUGUUGAUGCAAUCCAGUGUUGCAAAGAUGACUGCGAAGGGAGUUACCUUUUUGUUUCACACACGGGGUUUGGUGGCGUUGCGUAUGCAAUGGCAGUUAUUUGUAUCAGACUUGGUGCAGAGGCAAACUUCGCAGCAAAGAUUCCACAAACAUUGGUUGGUACAGAGUCAUUUUCUGUGCAAGGAGGGAACUUACCUUCUCAAUCCUCUGACGAAGAGACACUCAAGAUGGGUGAUUACCGUGACAUUCUAAGUCUUACAAGAGUUCUCAUGUAUGGUCCAAAGAGCAAAGCAGAUGUUGACAUUAUUAUUGACAAGUGUGCGGGUGCUGGGCAUUUACGUGAUGAUAUUCUAUAUUACAGUAAGGAACUCAGUAAGUAUCCAGAUGAUGAUGAUGAGCAACGUGCAUACAUCAUGGAUAUGGGCAUUAAAGCUUUAAGGCGAUACUUCUAUCUCAUAACAUUCAGAUCAUAUCUCUAUUGUGCUAAUCCAACCGAAACAAGAUUCACAUCUUGGAUGGGUGCAAGACCUGAACUAGGACAUCUUUGUAAUAACCUCAGGAUCGAUAAGUAAUUUGGAGCAUAGAGCAAUCUUCAAAUGUAUUUAUGUACAGCAAGUUUUGCCUGUUGUAGCUUCUUCAUUAAUAGCCUCUCUUAGUCUCUGCCCUUCCCCAGUUCCCCUUGGUUGCUUGCGUGCAUGCUAAUAGAUGUAUGCAACUAGUGCAUCACUCAAAAAAUAAAUAAAACCUGGUCACUGGGUUCCGAAGUUCAAUUUAAUUUGGGCAGGCAUUCAAGGUCAGGGAUCUAGAAUCCAGUCUGACCCACUCAUGGAUGUAGAGGAAGGAUGAUUAAUAAAACUAAAUUCUGUCCUCAGGGUGGCAGCUUUAGGAUAAAAUCAAAGCAAUCUUCAAACAGUAACUUUUCUUUUUCUUGUCUCUUUUCUUCCAUUUGUAAUCCUCCACAACUAACUUUU
rnacentral:misc_RNA from 1 species